rnacentral:rRNA from 1 species
GAUGAACGCUGGCGGCGUGCCUAAUACAUGCAAGUCGAGCGAAGCGGGGACGGGUGAGUAACACGUGGAUAACCUCCUAUAAGACUGGGAUAACUUCGGGAAACCGGAGCUAAACCGGAUACUUAGAGAUGGCUCCUCGCUGCAUUAGCUAGUUGGUAAGUUAACGGCUUACAAAGGCAACGAUGCAUAGCCGACCGUAGAGAGUGAUCGGCAACACUGGUAAUGAGACACGGCCCAGACUCCUACGGGAGGCAGCAGUAGGGAAUCUUCCGCAAGGGGCGAAAGCCUGACGGAGCAACGCCGCGUGAGUGAUGAAGGUCUGCGGAUCGUAAAACUCUGUUAUUAGUGAAGCGGUACCUAAUCAGAAAGCCACGGCUAACUACGUGCCAGCCGCCGCGGUAAUAC